GGCGAGCGGGAGGCAGCGGGCGGACGAGAGGCUGCAGACAGAAGCGGUGCCGCAAGCAUCACUGGGCGACCUGCUCGUCGACUUCUGGUCACAACCACCGCCAACCACGACCACCACCGACAACACCAAACCUUGCGCCGACCUGUCAUGGCGCCAUCCUCUGGCCGAUCGCAGCGCCGCGGUGCGGACACGGAGGUAGGACCGGGGGAGGCGGCUCCCUCCUGUGGCGGCACCCUCGCACCCUGGAGUUAACUUCCAACCUCUUGGGUCCUCAACCACUUCUCGCCAAAUCUGGAGCUGCCGGUACACGACAAUGUCGCCUCUUUGCAGAGAGCAGGCAGGAGGUCGGUGGAGUGAGGUGCCGGGGUCAGGGGUCAGGGGUUGGAUAUGGAGACGAGGCCAACAGCCUGCAGUCAGUGGCGCUGAACUCUUGGGACAUUGUGCGCCAUGGUGAUGUCACUGACACUGACUGACUCGUGGAGGUGGCUUCCUGUCACCUUACAUGUACUCUUGUGACUUACUGCCACUGUCACUGCCACUGCCACUGCCACCCUACUGAGGACAGCUGGUGACAACAGCGGCACUUGUGACCUACUGCCACUGUCACUGCCACUGCCACCCCACAGAGCACAGCUGGCGACAACAGCGGCACUUGUGUAGCGGCAUGGAGUACUUUGAUGUGCACCACGGGGUGUCCUACACGUGACUGCCACUUGUGACUGGCUUGUGUCACAAACUGCGAGGGUGACUUGAUGCUGUCACUGUGGUCACGUGUCUCGAUGACACAGAUUUCAGUGUAGAUGUGUCACUGUCGACAUCGUCAUGUGACUGCCACACUUACCUUGUGUCACACAUCUACAGUUUGCUGUGCUGUCAUGUUGAGUGGACGUGACACAAGAACCGACGGUGGGACGGCGACACGUGUUGGCCAGUACUGCCAUCUUGUGGUGAGCAUGCGCAGUGGAGCGCUAUCCAGGGUUCCAUAACAUGUCCUUCACCUCCAGGGUUGUCAAGUGACGUCACAGCGUAUGACAAGGUCAGACGUGUCUGUACUUCUAUAUAGGACAAGGUCAGAUGUGAAUACACGAGGUCAGACGUAUAUGCACUGAUAUCUAGGUCGAGGUCAGACGUAACCAUGAGCAGCGGACCGCCCAGACAGCAAACCACACAAUCGAGGGGCAGACCUCGCCCUGAGCUGAUUUCUCCGCUUGGUGGCGUUGACAUCGACAUCCGUCACAUGGACGAUGACCCCUUGUCGGCCAGUGCUGAGGUCGUUACAGACCCGGAUGAUGACCGACAGUCCAGUGGACAGCGACAAGGACUCACUGACUGUCACUCGUCCACGUCAUCCUGCCGGCCACACGCGGACACGCAUGACCGCUCCAGCCGCUUCUCUGAGGACAGUCGCCCCAUGUUCUCACCUGUCCCCGCCGAGUUCAUGGACGACGACGACAGACCUCACGGCACACCUCGUCACGAGGCCAGCCCGAGGAGCUCACGGAGGGCCUGGAAAGUCCCACCAGCGAGCGUCUACGAGUGCCCUCCCCUUUGCUGUACCGGAAGACCGACGGCCGAGUGGUUCUGAUGACUCAGGAUUCGAACCGCAAAACUCUGGGCGCCUGGAGCCUGUCGGAGGGCAACCUGCCCGAGGCCUUGAGGCGCUGUCCACACCCGACACCCCUGCCACCCGUGGCCGGCAGACCUACCCACCUGGAUGUCGGGUCAUGUGUCUUGUCUGUGUCCAGUCAUCGUCCCGAGUGGAUGUGGCAGACGGCCACCCGGGGUAGCAGCGACGUGGCCCUCAACGAACUGAGGAAGGAACGAGACGGACGCUGCCCCACCCCCGGGAGACUAACCUCUCACCUCCAGCCGCUCAGCACAGGGUCAAAGGUCAUGUCCACCAGCAGCAUUCAGACACCGUGAGCACGCCUCCAGUCACGUGGUGCAAGUCCCGUCUGUCAUGUGACCUGUGUGAUUUGUGAUACAAGGCUGGCUGGUGCCAGCAGACAAGAGUCCAUCGUGGUGGAGGUUGUGAUCCAGGCACACCUGCCAGGUGGAUGGCCAACGAUUUUCGCGGAGGAAAGAGACGACAGGUGUUUGUGCUGUGUAAACAUGGCCGUGCGUCACCUGACACAAGUGUGCGCCGCACCUGCUCCUCCCGACAGCGAACACCUGCUGCAGUGACGUUUAUCUACCUUCUGAACACAACACCUGCCCACAGGUGACCUGACGCCUGACUUUCUGUCACAAGGUUGUGCACCUGUCUAUUUCACAAGCGCACCUGAAGUUUUGCACCUGUUUGACCUUUUGUAGAGUUCGAUGUCCCCACCUCACACCUGGCACCCACCCGUUGACACCUCAGCUUUGUUGUUACCUGUGAUGACAUUCGUGCACUCUUUGGUUUUUCUCCUUGUCACUAAGCACGUGAGCACGCACACAAACUCACUUGCUCUCUCAGGCACACAGACACACUGACACGCAGACACACUGACACACAGACACGCAGACACACUGACACAGACACGCAGACACAGACACGUGUGCAGACAGACCCACUGAUACGUAAUGAGGGUGGAGGACACAUGCACUGUAGAGAUGACGAUGAGGACACAUGCACUGUAAGAGAUGACGAUGAGGACACGUGCACUGUAAACAAGCGGACAGCAGGUGACGUGACCAGCAUGCUAAUGCCCUGAUUAAUGUAAUUAAUUAAUUAACACUUGCCUCAUUUACUAAUCAUCAACACCGGCUGCUGACAUCGACCUGUAGGCACACGCUGUGUACACAGGUGGGGUGGGGUGGUCCACCCUCACAGUUGGCUGGGUGGAUGGGGACAAGCAGCCAGCACGUGCCGCCUGUUGGGGCCACGUGACCUCUCUCACCUGCUAACGACUCAGUGUCGGCCUCGCCACCCAGCGCCGGCCGUACAGUCGGGUGUAGGGGUGGGGUGGGGUGGGGGGAAUAAGUCAGUUGGACAGUUGAUAGUUCAAGGUGGGGUGGGAUUUACCUGACCUGUUUGUCCCACCCUUCUAGCGAGCCUAGCACCGCCAGUGCAACCUGUGAGUCACACCUGAGCGAUGGCCAUGCUCGCCUUGAUGACGUCAUGCACGCGCGCUUUGCACCUGGUGCAGUGGCUUGACUGUGAUGGCAGUGCAUCCCCAGCACCUGUCGCUGAAUCACACGAACUCACCUGAGUACCUCCUUGUGUAGCGCAAGUCUACCUUUCUGCCUUGUACUUAUCCUCACACCCCUUCCUCCGCUGCCCCCCGGAGUUGACUUUUGUCAGGUAACCUCCAUGUUAGCAACACGUGGUCACGUGGUGACACCUGCAGCAUAGACAGACGGAUGCACAGACCGACACGUAGAGAAAGACAAAGAGACAAGGAGACAGAGAAGAUGAGAGCUGGCAGGAGAGAGAGAGAGGAAGGUGUGCACGUGGUGUUGCGAUGACGUCACGGUUGUACCUGUGAGUGGGUUUGUUUUGGUUUGUAGACAUGCUGAACAUUUGCACUUUGACUAACUUGAGUUUUGUAGCUUUGUUUGUUUGUUUGUUUGACCUGUUUGGGAUUUUGUAGACUUCUUGUCGUUCAAACGCCUGCUCGCUACACAUGCGCACUCGACAGACUGCAGUGAGUUGUACUCUUCUUUCGUCACCAGACACACGAUGAUGUCACUAACGGACAUGUCACGUACAGUCAAUAAAAUUCUGUUAUCACAGUUGACGAAACAUGUGUGUGUUGUAU
rnacentral:misc_RNA from 1 species